rnacentral:rRNA from 1 species
GAUCAGUGGCUCGAGGACGAACGCUGGCGGCGUGCCGUAAUACAUGCAAGUCGAGCGGACCAAAGGGAGCUUGCUCCUGGAGGUUAGCGGCGAACGGGUGAGUAACACGUGGGCAACCUGCCUGUAAGACUGGGAUAACAUCGAGAAAUCGGUGCUAAUACCGGAUAAUAAAAAGAACUGCAUGGUUCUUUUUUGAAAGAUGGUUUCGGCUAUCACUUACAGAUGGGCCCGCGGCGCAUUAGCUAGUUGGUGAGGUAACGGCUCACCAAGGCGACGAUGCGUAGCCGACCUGAGAGGGUGAUCGGCCACACUGGGACUGAGACACGGCCCAGACUCCUACGGGAGGCAGCAGUAGGGAAUCUUCCGCAAUGGACGAAAGUCUGACGGAGCAACGCCGCGUGAGUGAUGAAGGUUUUCGGAUCGUAAAACUCUGUUGUUAGGGAAGAACAAGUGCCGUUCGAAAGGGCGGCACCUUGACGGUACCUAACGAGAAAGCCACGGCUAACUACGUG